rnacentral:lncRNA from 1 species
GGCAAGCAAUGCUGGCUAGCUAGUGGUAUAAUUAGAGUAUCACCAACGGGGGACCAAUCAUCCAAUAUGGGAGUCCUAAUCUCUUUGUCGUUGACAAUAAGAGGAAACAUCCAAAGUAAAACAUUAAUUAAUUAUUAACAGUCAAAUUCCUUACUGUAACAAAAGGAGAGUGGAAUGUCUAAAUUAAAGCGAGAGAACCUCAAAUUCCAUUAAACGUUACAUGGUUUUCAAGCAAAGAAGAUGACAAUUGACAAAUCCCCUUUUUAAAUGAUAUUGAUGGAUGAGAGCAGAAUAAAGUGGUGUUCCAUGAGGGGAAUAAUAUAUAUAUAUAUAUUAUAAAACAACCACUCCCAUGUUAACAACACCAAUCCCACUUCGGUCGCAGAAUCUUCCUAUAAUAGGACAAUUAAUGUAAUAAUUCAUUAAAGCAGGGAUUGUUGGUCUUCAAAUUUGUUUGCUCAGAUGGGUCCCAAUCCAGAUUCUUACGAUUCUUGAUUUGAUGUAGCUACCUACUAUGACAUGAAUUUCUUGGACAUACAUGCACCGCAAACAGAUCACAGACCUGUAAAACGAGGCUCUUUUUUGCUAAUUUUCUAACCCAGAAAUUAAGUUGCAACCUCUUCUGCUUUGAGUGAUCCAGAAUUAGCCCUCCAUCGACUCAUAUGCUAAUGUCUAAGUCAAGGAUGUGGAUAUAAUAGUUCAAAGUUUGUUAACAUGGUGUAGGUUGUUUCUGUAAAAAUAUUUUUUUAUUAAAAAUAUAUUAAAAUGAUAUUUUUUAAAGAUUUUUUUAAUUUUUGUUAUUAAUACAUUAAGAUCAUAAAAAACAAUUUAAAAAAUAUACUAAAAUGCUUGUAGUUAUGCCAAGCUAUUGGUUCAUGUCUAAUGGACUCAAAGGGUAGCUUUUUAUGUUGGGUUGGAUCAUGGUUGUUAUUUCAAAUUGUGUAAACUCGUCGAAACUUGACGUUGUAUAAUAGCUAUCUUGGUUGAUCAUGACCCUAUACCCUAAUUUGUUAUUUGGAAAAAAGAAAGAACCUAUUCUUGUUUCUUAGGCUUUCAAGGAGAUCCGAUCUUCAUUUGGCUGCUUUCAAAAUAGAUUGUACCUAGCUAGGUGCAUGAUCCCCGAAUUUGUCAUGUGUGCCUUGACAAAGAUACGAUCAUGGGCAUUCUUGUGAAAGUUUAAAAAUUGAAACCACAUGGAAACUGAGCUAGCUUCAAUCUUAUAAUAUACACAUACAGACCAGAGAGAGAGAGAGAGAGAGAGAGAUUUGCAUUGAUUAUUAUACUAAAUGCUGAAGCAUGCAUUAAAAUACAAACUCCUAUAAGGAACCAAAUCUAAUCUUGGUAGCUUCAAAUUUGGAUUAAGUACUGACCUUGAUUUGAGCAUGGGAAGAUCCUUGACAUAUAUGUUGUCAGUAAGAAAUUCUCUGAGCCAAGAAGUUCAUCGUCAAGACUUGUUAAGCUUUUGUAAGUUCCACUUUCUCCAAUAAGAAACAACCCACAUGCCAACUUUGUAUAGAGACAUGAUUUGAUCUGUUCUGCAGGAAGGAUCCUGUCCAUCUUAGCUUUUGUCAGGUUCAACCCUACAUUGAAAUU